rnacentral:rRNA from 1 species
UACGGAGGGUGCAAGCGUUAUCCGGAUUCACUGGGCUUAAAGGGUGCGUAGGCGGGCUAGUAAGUCCGUGGUGAAAUCCCUGAGCUUAACUUGGGAACUGCCAUUGAUACUAUUAGUCUUGAAUAUCGUGGAGGUAAGCGGAAUAUGUCAUGUAGCGGUGAAAUGCUUAGAUAUGACAUAGAACACCAAUUGCGAAGGCAGCUUGCUACACGGUCAUUGACACUGAGGCACGAAAGCGUGGGGAGCAAACAGG